rnacentral:tRNA from 1 species
GGAAGUGUGGUCUAGUGGUAAGAGCUUGGGCCUGGGAGUUAGAAGACCUGGGUUCUAAUCCCAGCUUUGCCA